UGCAUCAGCUCCUGCUGUCUG
rnacentral:misc_RNA from 1 species